CCAGACUCCUACGGGAGGCAGCAGUGGGGGAUAUUGCACAAUGGGGGAAACCCUGAUGCAGCAACGCCGCGUGAGUGAAGAAGUAUUUCGGUAUGUAAAGCUCUAUCAGCAGGGAAGAAGAAAGACGGUACCUGACUAAGAAGCCCCGGCUAACUACGUGCCAGCAGCCGCGGUAAUACGUAGGGGGCAAGCGUUAUCCGGAUUUACUGGGUGUAAAGGGAGCGUAGACGGCAUAGCAAGUCUGAAGUGAAAGCCCGGGGCCCAACCCCGGGACUGCUCUUGGAACUGCGCGGCUGGAGUGCAGGAGGGGCAGGCGGAAUUCCUGGUGUAGCGGUGAAAUGCGUAGAUAUCGGGAGGAACACCGGUGGCGAAGGCGGCCUGCUGGACUGCGACUGACGUUGAGGCCCGAAAGCGUGGGGAGCAAACAGGAUUAGAUACCCCUGUAGC
rnacentral:rRNA from 1 species